CCAUCAUUAAAGUUGGGGCACUCUAGCGAGACUGCCGGUGACAAACCGGAGGAAGGUGGGGAUGACGUCAAAUCAUCAUGCCCCUUAUGCCCUGGGCUACACACGUGCUACAAUGGACAGUACAAUGAGCAGCGACACGGCGACGUGAAGCGAAUCUCAUAAAGCUGUUCUCAGUUCGGAUUGUAGGCUGCAACUCGCCUACAUGAAGCCGGAAUCGCUAGUAAUCGCGGAUCAGCACGCCGCGGUGAAUACGUUCCCGGGCCUUGUACACACCGCCCGUCACACCACGAAAGUUUGUAACACCCGAAGUCGGUGAGGUAACCGCAAGGAGCCAACCGCCUAAGGUGGGAUAGAUGAUUGGGGUGAAGUCGUAACAAGGUAACCAAGGGCGAAUUCUG
rnacentral:rRNA from 1 species